GACGAACGCUGGCGGCGUGCUUAACACAUGCAAGUCGAACGGAAAGGCCCUGCUUUUGUGGGGUUCUCGAGUGGCGAACGGGUGAGUAACACGUGAGUAACCUGCCCUUGACUUUGGGAUAACUUCAGGAAACUGGGGCUAAUACCGGAUAGGAGCUCCUGCUGCAUGUUGGGGGUUGGAAAGUUUCGGCGGUUGGGGAUGGACUCGCGGCUUAUCAGCUUGUUGGUGGGGUAGUGGCUUACCAAGGCUUUGACGGGUAGCCGGCCUGAGAGGUGGACCGGCGACAAGGGGACUGAGAGACGGACCAGAAGCCUACGGGAGGCAGCAGGGGGGAAUAUGGCACAAUGGGCGGAAGCGUGAUGCAGCAACGCCGCGUGCGGGAUGACGGGCUUCGGGUUGUAAACCGCUUUCGCCUGUGACGAAGCGUGAGUGACGGUAAUGGGUAAAGAAGCACCGGCUAACUACGUG
rnacentral:rRNA from 1 species